rnacentral:misc_RNA from 1 species
GAUGAAGAACGCAGCGAAAUGCGAUAAGUAAUGUGAAUUGCAGAAUUCAGUGAAUCAUCGAAUCUUUGAACGCACAUUGCGCCCCUUGGUAUUCCGAGGGGCAUGCCUGUUCGAGCGUCAUUAUAACCCCUCAAGCUCAGCUUGGUGUUGGGGCCUGCUGCACUGCCAGCCCUUAAAAUCAGUGGCGGCGCCAUCUGGCUCUAAGCGUAGUAAUUCUUCUCGCUAUGGAGUCCUGGUGGAUGCUUGCCAUCAACCCCCAAUUUUUCUAUGGUUGACCUCGGAUCAGGUAGGGAUACCCGCUGAACUUAAGCAUAUCAAUAAGCGGAGGA